CGGCACCUCAAGUGGUCAGGAUGAUUAUUGGGCCUAAAGCAUCCGUAGCCGGCGCUGUAAGUUUUCGGUUAAAUCUGUACGCUCAACGUACAGGCUGCCGGGAAUACUGCAGCGCUAGGGAGUGGGAGAGGUAGACGGAACUCGGUAGGAAGGGGUAAAAUCCUUUGAUCUAUUGAUGACCACCUGUGGCGAAGGCGGUCUACCAGAACACGUCCGACGGUGAGGGAUGAAAGCUGGGGGAGCAAACCGGAUUAGAUACCCGAGUAGUCC
rnacentral:rRNA from 1 species